rnacentral:rRNA from 2 species
UGAGGAAUAUUGGUCAAUGGGCGAGAGCCUGAACCAGCCAUGUCGCGUGCAGGAUUACGGCCCUAUGGGUUUUAAACUGCUUUUGUCUAGGGGUAAAAGAUCUACGUGUAGAGCAUUGCAAGUACUAGACGAAUAAGCAUCGGCUAACUCCGUGCCAGCAGCCGCGGUAAUACGGAGGAUGCGAGCGUUAUCCGGAUUUAUUGGGUUUAAAGGGUGCGUAGGCGGCAUAUCAAGUCGGUGGUGAAAUUUCGGGGCUUAACCUCGUCACUGCCAUCGAAACUGAUAAGCUUGAGUGCGUUGGGGGUAGCUGGAAUGUGCGGUGUAGCGGUGAAAUGCAUAGAUAUCGCACAGAACGCCGAUCGCGAAGGCAGGUUACCACGCCGCAACUGACGCUGAGGCACGAAAGCGCGGGGAUCGAACAGG